CCUACGGGAGGCAGCAGUGGGGAAUAUUGGGCAAUGGAGGAAACUCUGACCCAGCGACGCCGCGUGCGGGAUGAAGGCCUUCGGGUUGUAAACCGCUUUCAGUAGGGAAGAAGCGAAAGUGACGGUACCUACAAAAGAAGCACCGGCUAACUAUGUGCCAGCAGCCGCGGUAAUACAUAGGGUGCAAGCGUUGUCCGGAAUUAUUGGGCGUAAAGAGCUCGUAGGUCGUUUGUUACGUCGGAUGUGAAAACCUGAGGCUCAACCUCAGGCCUGCAUUCGAUACGGGCAAACUAGAGUUUGGUAGGGGAGACUGGAAUUCCUGGUGUAGCGGUGGAAUGCGCAGAUAUCAGGAGGAACACCAAUGGCGAAGGCAGGUCUCUGGGCCAAUACUGACACUGAGGAGCGAAAGUCUGGGGAGCGAACAGGAUUAGAUACCCUGGUAGUCCAGACCGUAAACGGUGGGCACUAGUUGUGGGAACCUUCCACGGUUUCUGCGACGCAGCUAACGCAUUAAGUGCCUCGCCUGGGGAGUACGAUCGCAAGAUUAAAACUACAAAGGAAUUGACGG
rnacentral:rRNA from 1 species